GAGGACCCCUGCGCCGCCUGCGGGCAACCCUGUCCCCGGCCGCCGCCGACAGGUGACGAAGUGGUAAAAACUCACGGUUACUAGUGAGCGACACAGACACAGACUUUCCAGUCUAUUAACAACCAACGCCAGAGAGAUGGGGCUCUAACUGCAAAGACUGGGCAACGGCCCCGCGCUGCCGGCGCUGCCGCUCUAGUCUGUAUUCGCCGCCGGAGGCUGAGGCGUGGGAGCCGGCGGGCGGCGUGCAGCGACGCGGGGAUUUGGACAGUGGCCGUAACGGUGAUUUCUCCUCACCAACAUGGCGGCACCCGAAACAGGCGGCUCAGAAAAUGGCGCCGGCCGCAACACCUUGCCCGGGACUAAAGGGCAAGUGGAAUUCCUCCGCGAGCCGCGGCCCUCUCCCAGCCCGCCGGUGCCGAGCGCACUAGCCAUUGGAGGAAACUGCCCGUCAAUCACUUCCAGGGGCGGGCCUUUAAUACGCUCGCUGCGGCAGCGGAGGCAGCAAUCUGAUGGGUGUGAGGCCAGGGAUGCGGUUCGGUGGCGCGUGGAGUUAUAUCGGGCGGGGCAGGUCACCCCGCCAGGCCUGCUGUGUCCACCAGGUCCUCUGUGCCCAUUUCUCGAUGUUCCUGCGAGACUCGUCGUCUAAGGCUUUGGAGUUCCGGACUCAUCACACUGUCCCCCUCCACCCCGCCACCGUUAACUGCGCGACAAAGAAAGGAACCCAGGACUGGCGGUUUUCUUUGUUAAAAAGAAAGAAAGAAAGAAAAGCUUUCUUUGUUGCCGAAAGAACUCGGAAUCAUCCUUAAGCCCUUAAACUUGUAGCUGUUAUGUCUCCGUAGUGUAAGGAAGACUGCCUGCCAUGCAACUUUUUCUGAUACUAAAUUCACCCAGUCCUUACUUGACGAUUAAAAAUAGCUAUUGAGGUAAUUAAAACAUGAUCUUGUGUCUGUUAGCGGUUUAGAUGUGGAAUUCAUUCGAGUAUUUCAUAAGAACAAGACUUCAUUUCUUCGUAUGUCCAUGGCCUUCAGACGUAUUUCCAUAUCCUUCAGAAAUAGUCUUGAAAUGAUGAGUAAUGUAUACUUAGUUCUGAAGGAAAGUUAAUUUUUUUUAUUAAAAUGAUAAGCUUAAAUGUC
rnacentral:lncRNA from 1 species